GGGCGGCCGGACCCGGUGCGCGCUGCCUGCCAGCUCCGGCCCGGCCGUGGGCGCGGCGGGCGAGGGCGAGCCCGGAGCGGGGAGCGGGGGAGCGGCGGGGGCAUGUGGAUGUUGGCCGUCGCCUUGCUCCACAGCAUCUCGCAUGUUUUCGGUGAAGAGCUACACGCCAGUCUCUAUUUUGUCAAUGCAUCUCUGCAAGAGGUAGUGUUUGCUAGCACCACAGGGACCCUGGUCCCCUGUCCAGCAGCGGGGAUCCCCCCGGUGACGCUCAGAUGGUACCUAGCGACGGGCGAGGAGAUCUACGAUGUCCCAGGGAUCCGCCACGUCCACCCCAAUGGCACUCUCCAAAUUUUCCCCUUCCCUCCUUCAAGCUUUAAUAACUUAAUCCAUGAUAACACUUACUAUUGCACAGCUGAAAAUCCUUCAGGGAAAAUCAGGAGUCAGGAUGUUCACAUUAAGGCUGUUUUACGGGAACCCUAUACAGUCCGUGUGGAGGACCAGAAAGCCAUGAGAGGCAAUGUAGCAGUGUUCAAGUGCAUUAUCCCCUCCUCUGUGGAGGCAUACAUCACUGUUGUCUCAUGGGAGAAAGACACAGUCUCGCUUGUCUCAGGACCUAGAUUUCUCAUCACAUCCACGGGAGCCUUGUAUAUUUUAGACGUACAAAAUGAAGAUGGACUGUACAACUACCGAUGUAUCACAAGGCACAGAUACACUGGAGAAACACGACAGAGCAACAGCGCAAGACUUUUUACCCAGCGAAUUCAGCUCCAUCUAUCCUAGAUGGGUUUGACCACCGCAAAGCCAUGGCAGGACAGCGAGUGGAGCUGCCUUGCAAAGCAUCAGGGCACCCAGCACCAAAGUACCGCUGGCUGAAGGACAACGUGCCCUGGGAGCCCGACAGCCGCUUCCGGCAGACGGUGACGGGGCUGCUCAUCGAGAACACGCGGCCCUCGGACUCGGGCAGCUACGUCUGCGAGGUGUGGAACAACUACGGCACCGCCGAGGUCAUCGGCCGCCUCCACGUCAAACAACCACUCAAAGCCACCAUCAGCCCGCGCAAAGUCAAAAGCAGCGUCGGUAGCCAAGUGUCCUUGUCCUGCAGCGUGACGGGGACCGAGGACCAGGAGCUGUCCUGGUACCGCAACGGGGAAAUCAUCAACCCUGGCAACAACGUGCGCAUCACCGGGGUCAACCGCGAGAACCUGAUCAUGGACGGCAUGGCCAAGAGCGACGGCGGCGCCUACCAGUGCUUUGUGCGCAAGGACAAGAUGUCAGCUCAAGACUACGUACAGGUGGUGCUGGAAGACGGAACUCCCAAAAUCAUCUCCGCCUUCAGCGAGAAAGUGGUGAGCCCAGGAGAGCCAGUGUCCCUGAUGUGCAACGUGAAGGGGACUCCCCUGCCCACCAUCACCUGGACACUGGACGAGGAUCCCAUCGUGAAGGACGGCAGCCACCGGAUCAGCCAGAUCAUCACGUCCGAGGGCAACGUGGUCAGUUACCUGAACAUCUCCAACACCCAGGUCCGGGACGGAGGAGUUUAUCGCUGCACUGCCAACAACUCUGCGGGAGUCGUCCUGUACCAGGCUCGAAUAAACGUAAGAGGGCCAGCGAGCAUUCGGCCCAUGAAGAACAUCACGGCCAUCGCUGGGAGGGACACCUACAUCCACUGCAGGGUCAUCGGGUAUCCCUACUACUCCAUCAAGUGGUACAAGAACUCCAACCUGCUGCCCUUCAACCAUCGCCAAGUGGCGUUCGAGAACAACGGCACGCUGAAGCUCUCGGACGUGCAGAAGGAGGUGGACGAGGGCGAGUACACCUGCAAUGUCCUGGUCCAGCCCCAGCUGUCCACCAGCCAGAGCGUGCACGUGACGGUGAAAGUGCCCCCCAGGUUUGUGGUCCAGCCCAGCGACCAGGACGGGAUCUAUGGGAAAGCCGUCAUUCUGAACUGCUCUGCCGAGGGUUAUCCCGUCCCCACCAUUGUCUGGAAGUACUCCAAAGGUGCCGGGGUUCCCCAGUUCCAGCCGAUCGCGCUGAACGGUCGGAUCCAGCUGCUCACAAACGGCUCCUUGCUGAUCAAACAUGUGCUGGAAGAAGACAGUGGAUACUACCUCUGCAAGGUCAGCAAUGAUGUGGGAGCAGACGUCAGCAAGUCCAUGUACCUCACUGUUAAAAUUCCAGCUAUGAUAACCUCCUACCCAAACACCACCCUGGCAACUCAAGGCCAAAAGAAGGAGAUGAGCUGCACGGCACAUGGAGAGAAACCCAUCAUAGUCCGCUGGGAGAAGGAAGACCGGAUCAUUAACCCCGAAAUGUCCCGUUACCUGGUUUCCACCAAGGAGGUUGGGGAUGAAGUGAUUUCUACCCUGCAGAUUCUGCCAACUGUGCGUGAAGAUUCUGGCUUCUUCUCCUGCCACGCCAUCAAUUCUUACGGGGAGGAUCGUGGAAUAAUUCAGCUCACUGUGCAAGAGCCCCCUGACCCCCCUGAGAUAGAGAUCCGGGAGGUGAGAGCUCGGAGCAUCGCCCUCAGGUGGACCAUGGGCUUCGACGGCAACAGCCCCAUCACCGGCUACGACAUCGAGUGCAAGAACAAGUCAGACUCUUGGGAUUCUGUCCAGAGAACAAGAGAUGUUUCCCCUCAGCUAAACCAAGCCACCAUCAUCGACCUGCACCCGUCCUCCACCUACAACAUCCGCAUGUACGCCAAGAACCGCAUCGGCAAGAGCGAGGCCAGCAAUGAGCUCACCAUCACCACUGAUGAAGCAGCCCCUGAUGGUCCACCUCAGGAUGUGCAGCUUGAGCCUAUAUCUUCCCAGAGCAUCAGAGUCACCUGGAAGGCUCCAAAGAAGCACUUGCAGAAUGGAAUUAUCCGUGGGUACCAGAUAGGUUAUCGGGAGUACAGCGCGGGGGGAAAUUUCCAGUUCAACAUCAUCAGCAUCGACACCACCGGGGACAGUGAGGUGUAUACACUGAAUAACCUGAAAAAAUUCACCCAGUAUGGCAUGGUGGUACAGGCCUGUAACCGGGCUGGGAUUGGACCUUCUUCUCAGGAAAUCAUCACCACCACUCUUGAGGACGUGCCCAGUUGCCCUCCAGGGAAUGUGCAAGCCACCGCCACGUCCCCAGAAACCAUCUCCAUUUCCUGGUCAACGCUGGCAAAGGAAACCCUGAACGGGAUCCUGCAGGGAUUCAGGGUCAUCUACUGGGCCAACCUCUUGGAUGGAGAGCUGGGAGAGAUAAAGAAUGUCACCACUACCCAACCAUCCCUGGAGCUGGAUGGCCUGGAAAAAUACACCAACUACAGCAUCCAGGUGUUGGCUUUUACCCGAGCUGGGGAUGGAGUGAGGAGCGAGCAGAUUUUCACCCGCACUAAAGAGGAUGUUCCAGGUCCUCCUGCUGGAGUUAAAGCAGCUGCUGCCUCAGCCUCCACGGUUUUUGUGUCCUGGCUGCCUCCCCUGAAGCUGAACGGCAUCAUCCGGAAAUACACCGUGUUCUGCUCCCACCCCUACCCCACAGUGAUCAGCGAGUUUGAAGCCUCUCCCGACUCAUUUUCCUACAGAAUCCCCAACCUGAGCCGGAAUCGCCAGUACAGCGUGUGGGUGGUGGCCGUGACGGCUGCGGGGAGAGGCAACAGCAGCGAGAUCAUCACGGUGGAACCGCUGGCCAAAGCUCCUGCCAGGAUCCUGACGUUCAGCGGGACGGUGACAACGCCCUGGAUGAAGGACAUUGUCCUCCCUUGCAAAGCCGUGGGGGACCCUGCUCCAACAGUCAAGUGGAUGAAGGAUAGUAACGGGACACCCAGUCUAGUGAUGAUUGAUGGGCGAAGGAGCAUCUUCAGCAACGGCAGCUUCGUCAUCAGGACUGUGAAAGCAGAAGACUCUGGCUACUACAGCUGUGUGGCCAGCAACAACUGGGGCUCAGAUGAAAUCAUUUUGAAUUUGCAGGUACAAGUUCCACCAGACCAGCCAAGACUCACUGUAUCCAAAACUACAUCUUCCUCUAUCACACUUUCUUGGAUACCUGGAGACAAUGGUGGCAGUUCUAUCCGAGGUUAUAUCCUGCAGUACUCAGAGGAUAACAGUGAGCAGUGGGGCAGUUUCCCCAUCAGCCCCAGUGAGAGGUCCUACAGGCUGGAAACGCUGAAAUGUGGCACCUGGUACAAGUUCACCCUGACUGCUCAGAACGGGGUGGGGCCGGGGCGCAUCAGCGAGAUCAUCGAGGCCAAGACGCUCGGCAAAGAGCCACAGUUUUCCAAGGAGCAAGAGCUCUUUGCCAGCAUCAACACCACGCGGGUGAGGCUGAACCUGAUCGGCUGGAACGAUGGUGGCUGCCCCAUCACCUCCUUCACCCUGGAGUACCGACCCUUUGGGACCACGGUCUGGACAACAGCCCAGAGGACAUCCCUGUCCAAGUCCUACAUCCUCUACGACCUCCAGGAGGCCACCUGGUACGAGCUGCAAAUGAGAGUGUGCAACAGUGCUGGCUGUGCAGAGAAACAAGCCAAAUUUGCCACGCUCAAUUAUGAUGGCAGUACAAUCCCACCUCUCAUCAAGUCGGUUGUGCAAAGUGAGGAAGGGCUGGGAACCAACGAAGGGCUGAAGAUGCUGGUGACCAUCUCCUGUAUCUUGGUUGGGGUCUUGCUGCUCUUUGUGAUGCUGCUGAUCGUGAGGAGGAGGAGGAGGGAGCAGAGGCUGAAGAGGCUGCGAGAUGCAAAGAGUUUGGCUGAAAUGCUUAUGAGCAAGAACACCAGGACAUCAGACACACUUAAUAAGCAGCAGCAAACGCUGAGGAUGCACAUAGACAUUCCCAGAGCACAGCUGCUGAUAGAGGAGAGGGACACCAUGGAGACCAUUGACGACAGAUCCACGGUUCUGCUGACUGAUGCUGACUUUGGAGAGACGUCCAAGCAGAAGUCCCUGACUGUCACCCACACGGUCCAUUACCAGUCGGUGUCACAAGCCACAGGGCCACUGGUGGAUGUCUCUGAUGCCCGGCCAGGAACGAAUCCCACCACGAGGAGGAGUGCCAAAACCGGACCCACCGCGCGCAACCGCUACGCCAGCCAGUGGACCCUCAACAGGCCCCACCCCACCAUCUCAGCACACACCCUCACCACAGACUGGAGGCUCCCCACGCCCAGGCCAGCAGGAUCAGUGGACAAGGAAAGUGACAGCUACAGCGUCAGCCCCUCGCAGGACACAGACCGGGCGAGGAGCAGCAUGGUCUCCACAGAAAGUGCCUCCUCCACCUACGAAGAGCUGGCCAGGGCCUACGAGCACGCCAAGAUGGAAGAGCAGCUGAGGCACGCCAAGUUCACCAUCACCGAGUGCUUCAUCUCAGACACGUCCUCGGAGCAGCUGACGGCAGGGACCAACGACUACACGGACAGCCUGACGUCCAGCACGCCCUCCGAGUCGGGCAUCUGCCGCUUCACCGCCUCCCCGCCCAAGCCGCAGGACGGAGGGCGCGUGACCAACAUGGCAGUGCCCAAGGCACACCGCCCAGGUGAUCUCAUGCAUUUGCCACCCUACCUUAGGAUGGACUUUUUAUUGAACCGUGGCGUGCAGGGCACGAGCAGAGACCUGGGUUUGGGGCAAGCCUGCUUGGAGCCACAGAAAAGCCGAACCUUGAAGCGUCCCACCGUGCUGGAGCCGAUCCCCAUGGAGACAUCCUCCACGAGAGACGCCCAGUCAUGGCAACCUGGUGCUGUGGCAACGUUACCUCAGCGAGAAGGAGCUGAGCUAGGACAGGCUCAAGCAAAAAUGAGCAGCUCCCAAGAAUCCCUGCUGGACUCACGGGGCCACUUGAAAGGAAACAAUCCCUACGCAAAAUCUUACACCCUGGUAUAACGAAAAGAGCAUGGCUGGACAGUGGCUGUAAAUAUUUACACUGAAAAACAAAACAAACAAACAAAAAAGUCCAAUGAAAGCUACCUUUUUUUUAUUGAAUUCCAAUAUUUAUAAUUAAAGAAGAAGAUUGCCAAAAUAUUUGACAAAAAAAAAAAAAUAAUAUGAACGACAGACAGUGCAAAGACUCUCUUGCUUUUUUUCUGUCUGAGUGUGAGCUUCAUCUGACUGGACAUCUGAAUUUUUGGGUAAAAGAGUCCAGUUUUCUGAUCUUCACAAGCGUUUGUGUUUUUACUGAUUUUCUACGAAGUGCAUGGAGACUUAACAAAAACAUUUUAACUGGAAGUUCCAUCAGACAAGAUUUAAAAGUGAAAAAAAAAUCACAAAAAAAAAAAAA
rnacentral:lncRNA from 1 species